GUUUGUUGUUAAUUGAAGCCAAAUAUAAAAUGUUCCCCUCGCUAUCCAGUGCCUGCUUUUUAUGUUGCAUUUGGACGUUGGGGAACUACAUUG
rfam:Morus notabilis contig38008, whole genome shotgun sequence.